GGGAAGACGAGCCGAAUCUCGAACAUGCGCCGUUCUCCGUUCAGCCUGCAUCCCAGUCGCGCAAACUAUAUAGAUUCAAACAUGGGAAUUGAUUAUGGUGGAAUAUAUCUUGAAAUGAGGUGAAAAUUAUAAAAACACACAAUCGACCUUAUGAUGUAAGAAAAAGGCGUUCUCAACUUCUCAUAUGGAUGCACAUGUGGCCGCCAAUCAG